rnacentral:tRNA from 1 species
GCCGGGGUCUCCUAGUUAGGUAGGGAGCAGGCCUGGAGAGCCUGUGGCCUCUCGAGGCCGCGUGGGUUCAAAUCCCACUCCCGGCG